AGUGAACGCUGGCGGUAGGCCUAACACAUGCAAGUCGAACGGCAGCACAGGAGAGCUUGCUCUCUGGGUGGCGAGUGGCGGACGGGUGAGGAAUACAUCGGAAUCUACCUCUUCGUGGGGGAUAACGUAGGGAAACUUACGCUAAUACCGCAUACGACCUACGGGUGAAAGUGGGGGACCGCAAGGCCUCACGCGAUUAGAUGAGCCGAUGUCCGAUUAGCUAGUUGGCGGGGUAAUGGCCCACCAAGGCGACGAUCGGUAGCUGGUCUGGGAGGGUGCUCAGCCACACUGGAACUGAGACACGGUCCAGACUCCUACGGGAGGCAGCAGUGGGGAAUAUUGGACAAUGGGCGCAAGCCUGAUCCAGCCAUACCGCGUGGGUGAAGAAGGCCUUCGGGUUGUAAAGCCCUUUUGUUGGGAAAGAAAUCCUAUCGGUUAAUAACCGGUGGGGAUGACGGUACCCAAAGAAUAAGCACCGGCUAACUUCGUGCCAGCAGCCGCGGUAACAC
rnacentral:rRNA from 1 species